GAUGAACGCUGGCGGCGUGCUUAACACAUGCAAGUCGAACGGAAAGGCUCCUGCUUGCAGGGGUACUCGAGUGGCGAACGGGUGAGUAACACGUGGGUGAUCUGCCCUGCACUUCGGGAUAAGCCUGGGAAACUGGGUCUAAUACCGGAUAGGACCACAUUUUGGAUGGUGUGGUGGAAAGUUUUUCGGUGUGGGAUGAGCUCGCGGCCUAUCAGCUUGUUGGUGGGGUAAUGGCCUACCAAGGCGUCGACGGGUAGCCGGCCUGAGAGGGUGUACGGCCACAUUGGGACUGAGAUACGGCCCAGACUCCUACGGGAGGCAGCAGUGGGGAAUAUUGCACAAUGGGCGCAAGCCUGAUGCAGCGACGCCGCGUGGGGGAUGACGGCCUUCGGGUUGUAAACUACUUUCGCUAGGGACGAAGCGAAAGUGACGGUACCUGGAGAAGAAGCACCGGCUAACUACGUG
rnacentral:rRNA from 1 species